rnacentral:tRNA from 1 species
GUCGGGAUAGCUCACUGGUA